GUGUGUGUGUGUAUGAAAAUGAGGGACCAGACAAGGAGAGAAAGAGAUUUGAGGAGGAAGGAGGCAGGACCCAGGUGCAGUAGACUUACACAGGUUCAGAACUGACUUGAAAUGCUGAUGUGAUUGCCAUCACUAUCUUCUGCAGAUAAGGGACCUCAUUCCAUCACCUCAUCUGUAGCUGCUGCACCUGCGGAUAUGUGAGAUGGUGGCCUGAUAUCCCUUCCCAAAUGAAUCCUAAAGAGGUGGCAAGAUGAUCCCCCUG